rnacentral:rRNA from 1 species
UACGUAGGGAGCAAGCGUUGUCCGGAAUCAUUGGGCGUAAAGCGCGCGUAGGCGGCCUCGUAAGUCCGUUGUGAAAGUCAAAGGCUCAACCUUUGAAAGCCGAUGGAUACUGUGAGGCUAGAGUCCGGAAGAGGCGAGUGGAAUUCCCGGUGUAGCGGUGAAAUGCGCAGAUAUCGGGAAGAACACCCAUGGCGAAGGCAGCUCUCUGGGACGGUACUGACGCUGAGACGCGAAAGCGUGGGGAGCAAACAGG